rnacentral:rRNA from 1 species
AGCUCCAAUAGCGUAUAUUAAAGUUGUUGCAGUUAAAAAGCUCGUAGUUGGAUUUCUGCUUUGGGCACUUGGUCUGGCUCAGCUAAGUACUGAGUGUUCCAAAGCAUCUUUCUGGUGAGUUGCGCUGCACUUAACUGGGUGGCGUGCGAGCUAGAGUUUUUACUUUGAGAAAAAUAGAGUGUUUCACGCGGGCGUUCCGCCUUGAAUAUAUUAGCAUGGAAUAAUAAGGUAGGACAUUGGUCCUAUUUUGUUGGUUUCUGGGACUGAUGUAAUGAUUAAUAGGAAUAGUUGGGGGUAUUCGUAUUUAACUGUCAGAGGUGAAAUUCUUGGAUUUGUUAAAGACGAACUGCUGCGAAAGCGUUUGCCAAGGAUGUUUUCA